AUAUGAAGAAGAGAAUUCCGAGAAUAACAAACGCAAUCAUCACUCGUCUCAAUCCAAGAAGAAGUGUUCGCCAUCUUCAUAUGAGAAUACACCUUCAAAAGAAAUAAGUCCUCCGCAAAUACCAUAUUAUUCUGGUAUAUUAAGUGAAUCUAAUAGAACAGUCCUACAAAAGCCGUCUCCAGUGAAGACUACACUUCACAAUACACCUUCAA